rnacentral:rRNA from 1 species
CAAAGGGCAGCUACACAGCGAUGUGAUGCUAAUCUCCAAACCAUGUCUCAGUUCGGAUCGGAGUCUGCAACUCGACUCCGUGAAGCUGGAUUCGCUAGUAAUCGCGCAUCAGCCAUGGCGCGGUGAAUACGUUCCCGGGCCUUGUACACACCGCCCGUCAAGCCAUGGGAGCCGGGGGUACCUGAAGUCCGUAACCGCGAGGAUCGGCCUAGGGUAAAACUGGUGACUGGGGCUAAGUCGUAACAAGGUAAC